rnacentral:rRNA from 1 species
UGGAGCUUGCUCCACGGAUUAGUGGCGAACGGGUGAGUAACACGUGAAUAACCUGCCCUCAAUUUCGGAAUAACCCAGGGAAACCUGGGCUAAUACCGGAUACGUAAACCUGUGGCAUCACAUGGUUUUGGAAAGUUUUUCGAUUGAGGAUGGAUUCGCGGCCUAUCAGCUUGUUGGUGAGGUAAUGGCUCACCAAGGCGACGACGGGUAGCCGGCCUGAGAGGGUGGACGGCCACACUGGGACUGAGACACGGCCCAGACUCCUACGGGAGGCAGCAGUGGGGAAUAUUGCGCAAUGGACGAAAGUCUGACGCAGCGACGCCUCGUGAGGGACGAAGGUCUUCGGAUUGUAAACCUCUUUCAGCAGGGACGAAGCGAAAGUGACGGUACCUGCAGAAGAAGCACCGGCUAACUAUGUGCCAGCAGCCGCGGUAAUACAUAGGGUGCAAGCGUUGUCCGGAUUUAUUGGGCGUAAAGAGUUCGUAGGCGGUUUUUCGCGUCGGAUGUGAAAACUCAGGGCUCAACCCUGAGCCUGCAUUCGAUACGGGAAGACUCGA